rnacentral:rRNA from 1 species
GGUUUAGAAUUAAUCUAAUUUUAGCCAGCAGUAGCGGUAAUACGUGACCCUCAAGCGUUAUCCGGAUUUACUGGGCGUAAAGAGUCUUAAGGCUGUUUAGAUAGUCUUUGGUUAAAUCUUCGGGCUCAACCUGAAGACUGCCGAAGAUACUUCUAGACUAGAAGGCGUUAGAGGCUAGCGGAACGUACGGUGUAGGGGUGGAAUCCGUUGAUAUCGUACGGAACACCAAAAGCGAAGGCAGCUAGCUGGGGCGACCUUGACGCUGAUUGACGAAAGCUAGGGGAGUGAAGAGGAUUAGAUACCCUCGUAAUCCUAGCUGUAAACGAUGGAUACUAGCUGGUGGAAGUAUCGACCCUUUCACUGGCGAAGCUAACGCGUUAAGUAUCCCGCCUGGGAAGUACGCAGGCAACUGUGAAACUCAAAGAAAUAGACGGGGGUUUACACAAGCGGUGGACCACGUGGCUUAAUUCGAUGAUAAGCGGAGAACCUUACCAAGACUUGACAUGCUAGUGAAACUCUGAAGAAAUUCAGAGCCCCGCAAGGCACUAGUACAGGUGUUGCAUGGUCGUCGUCAGCAGGUGGCGUGAGCUGCUCCCUUAAAUGGGGAAACCUGCGCAACCCUUAUCCCAUGUUUUAUGUGUCAUGGGAGACUGCCGCGGAUAACGUGGAGGAAGGUGGGGACAACGCCAGAUCAGCAUGGCCCUUAUGUCUUGGGCAGCACACGUGGUACAAUGGCUAGUACAAUGGGUCGCGAACCGGUAACGGGGAGCUAAUCCCAUCAAAGCUAGUCUCAGUUCGGAUUGAGGUCUGAAACCCGACCUCAUGAAGUUGGAAUCGCUAGUAAUCGCGGAUCAGCUACGCCGCGAUGAAUAUGUCACUGAACCUUG